GUGUCAGCCGCCGCGGUAAUACCGGCAGCCCGAGUGAUGGCCGAUCUUAUUGGGCCUAAAGCGUCCGUAGCUGGCUGCGCAAGUCCGUCGGGAAAUCCACCCGCCCAACGGGUGGGCGUCCGGUAGAAACUGGCCGGCUUGGAACCGGAAGGUUCAGAGAGUACGUCCGGGGUAGGAGUGAAAUCCCGUAAUCCCGGACGGACUACCGAUGGCGAAAGCACUUCGAGAAAACGGAUCCGACAGUGAGGGACGAAAGCCAGGGUCUCCAACCGGAUUAGAUACCCGUGUAGUCC
rnacentral:rRNA from 1 species